rnacentral:rRNA from 1 species
GUACACGCUGUGACUAGCAUAUCAAUAAGCGGAGGAAAAGAAACUAACAAGGAUUCCCCUAGUAACGGCGAGUGAAGCGGGAAGAGCUCAAAUUUGAAAUCUUAAAGGGUUUCCCUUUACGAAUUGUAGUUUAAAGAAGUGUUUUCUGUUGAGGUUUUGGUAAAAGUUCUUUGGAAUAGGACAUCAUAGAGGGUGAGAAUCCCGUAUUUGACCUUUACUUUCAACUUUGUGAUACACUUUCAAAGAGUCGGAUUGUUUGGGAAUGCAGUCCAAAAUGGGUGGUAAAUUUCAUCUAAAGCUAAAUAUUGGCGAGAGACCGAUAGCGAACAAGUACCGUGAGGGAAAGAUGAAAAGAACUUUGAAAAGAGAGUUAAACAGUACGUGAAAUUGUCAAAAGGGAAGCGUUUGACACCAGUGUUGUUUUUCUGAAAAUCAAUUAAAGAACUGUUUAUGCUAAGUUGUUUAGACUUUAUCAGCUAACUGUUUAGUUUUGAGCUUUUCUUUAAUGCACUUUUCAGUUAACAAGUCAACAUCAAUUUCUUUUGCUGUAAAAAAGCUUGAGGAAGGUGGCUUGAGAUUCGUCUUAAGUGUUUAUAGCCUCUUGCCUAUGCAGUCGGAGAGAUUGAGGUCCUGCAGCGUAGAUCCUUCGGGGCUAAAUGCAUUUGUGCUAAGUUAUAGCAUUUCAUAGACAACUUGUUGACUAUGAUUUGUCUUGUAGCUUACUCGCUUAUGUUAUUUUACCUACGCUUAGGAUGUUGACAGCAGUAUAGACUGU